rnacentral:rRNA from 1 species
GCCCUUGAGAAAAUCAAAGGUGUAACCUGCCCAAUGAUCUUUAAUUUAAAAAUAAUAAAAAUAUUUAAAAAAGAUUUAAAGGACGCGGUAACCUUGACUGUGAUAAUGUAGCAUAAUCACUCGCCAUUUAAUUGAUGGAUAGUAUGAAUGGUUAAACGAAUAUUACACUAUCUAAAAAAUAGAUCUCAUAAAAAUGAAAUAAUAGUUAAGAUGCUAUUUAAAAUUGUAAGACGAAAAGACCCUAUAGAGCUUAACUAUAAUCUCUUGAAAAAAAAUAAAAAUAUUUUUAAAAAGGAGAGAUUGGUAGUUUAGUUGGGGCGACUAUUUUUUAAAAAUAACAAAAAUAAGCAACAUUAAUAAAAAAAUUUACUGUAUAAUAAACAAAUUUAACAGUUACUAAAGUAGGCUAUAAUGACCCAUUAUUACUAUAUAAUAAGAAUAAUGAUUAAUGAAUAAAAGCUACCUUAGGGAUAACAGGAUAAUUUUAUCUAAGAGUUCUUAUCAAAGAUAAAGUUUGUCACCUCUAUGUUGAAUUAAGAUAUCCUAAUAGUGCAGAAGCUAUUAAAGGUAGGUCUGUUCGACCUUUAAAAUCUU